UACGUAGGGUGCGAGCGUUAAUCGGAAUUACUGGGCGUAAAGUGUGCGCAGGUGGCCGCGCAAGUCGAGUGUGAAAUCCCCGAGCUUAACUUGGGAAUUGCGCUCGAAACUACGUGGCUCGAGUGUGGCAGAGGAAGGUGGAAUUCCACGUGUAGCGGUGAAAAUGCGUAGAGAUGUGGAGGAACACCGAUGGCGAAGGCAGCCUUCUGGGCCAACACUGACGCUCAUGCACGAAAGCGUGGGGGAGCAAACAGG
rnacentral:rRNA from 1 species